CACUGCAUGAACACAAUACUACGAGGUUAUGUACAAUACCUGCAGUUUAGAGUUCUAAAAACUAAGGUUUAAAGAAGUGGGUUUUCCAAAGUCACACACCUAACAAGUGGUGGAGUCAGAACUCCAUCUCACGGGCCCGAAGUGGCUCUUUACUACCACGUGACCCAUCUCAUGCUACCUCGCGGGGGAAACAUUCUUGACCAGCUUUGAGACAUUCAAGUCCCUCUUGGGUCACAAAUAAUGCUGCACUUCCCCUCCAGUCCCCGAGAUCUACCGGAAGCAACACACUUAAAAGCCCAAGAUAAGCUUGGGUGAGCUGAUGUCUGGACCCAAACCAGACAGCACGCCGACUCUCUGGACCCCGGGAGAUGCCACUUGCUGAGGCUUCGCCGAUGGGGCUCCUGAGGGGUAUCGGCCCCUCUCCUGCGACUGCACCCUAGUGCUGUCGUCCAGGGCGGGGAGGGACGGGGUCAUUCGGAGGCGGCCGCAGGCCAGGGACCUACCCUCCUACGCGCCGCAGACCGCGGGGUACUCGGACCCCCGCCCCCACCGCCCUUCCUUCAAACUGCAAGCGAGCAGGAGAACGAGGGACGAGCCCCAGAAGAAAGUUCUCCACCUCCCUCGCCCGAAGUUCCAUAUUCCAGGGAGGCAACUGAUGCCAGGCGAAGAGGGAGGCGCCCCGGGGGGACCCCCUCGCGCCGGGCGUUUUCGGAGGCCGCAGGCCAGGGGGCGAGGCGCGGUGUCCGGGUCUCCUCCGCGGGCAGUCGGCGAUCCUGGGGUGCCGAGGGAGCAGCGCCCCCUUCCCCCGACAGCGUCCUCCCCGACCUGAGGCGCCCACCCCGGUCCACUUCUUCAAUACCUAGAAGAGCUCCCUGAACACAGGAAGCAUUCAAUAAGCUACUGUUGAAUACAUGUAAGAUGGAUGGGAUCUCAUUCCACCCUUUGAAGAAGCAUGGACAGGUAUCUGCUCUCCAAAGGCGGAGAGAUGGAAGAGGAGGCAAGCAGCACCCUAAAAUGGACUAUCAAUCUUACCUGAGGUUUUGGGACAAGCUUAUCACGAAUCUGAUUUUUUUUUCUUUCUUGCUUAAAAUUUUUUUUUGAGACGAAGUCUCACUCUGUCACCCAGGCUGGAGUGCAAUGGCACCAUCUAGGCUCACUGCAACCUCCGCCUCCCAGGUUCAAGUGAUUCUCCUGCCUCAGCCUCCUGAGUAGCUGGGAUUACAGGUGCCCGCCACCAUCCCUGGCUAAUUUUUGUAUUUUUAGUAGAGAUGGGGUUUCACCAUAUUGGUCAGGCUGGUCUCGAACUCCUGACCUCGUGAUCCUCCAGCCUCGGCCUCCCAAAGUGCUGGGAUUACAGGCAUGAGCCACUGCACCCAGCCGACUUUUCUUAUUCCCUCUGAAACAGGCCUGGUUUCCAGGAGAAAAGAAACAUGAUGAUUUCUUCCUUUUCCUUAAGAUGUUUGUUUCCCUCUCUCCUUCAGGGAUCAUUAGGCAGGAGAGAUCCCAAGAGCCUGUUUCCACACUAGGAAGGGGAAGUUCUUGAUUUUCUCCUACUGCUUCUGAAAUUUUCCCAACCCCAUAGUCACAGCUGCAGUUUUACCUAACAGGAUGUGAAAUCUCUCUUCUGAGUAUCCUUUGGCCUUUUCCAGACUUUUUUUUCCCCCUUAAGAUGGGGCCUUGCUGUGUCACCCAGGCUGAAGUGCAGUAGCCCACUGCAGUCUUGAACUCCUGGGCUCAAGCAAUCCUCCUGCCUCUGCCUCCUGAAUAGUUGGGAUUACAAGUGUGCACCACCAUGCCCAGCUAAUUUUUUUAUGUUUAACACAGAGGAGGUCAAGGCUGGUCUUGAACUCCUGGGCUCAAGUAAUCCUCCGGCCUCAGCCUCCCAAAGUGUUGGGAUUACAGGUGUGAGCCACCGCGCCCAGCCCUUCUUCAGAUUUGUGCCCCAUUCCUGUUGCUCUACACCUGGAGCUGAUAGAAGAACACAUUUCCUUUCUCUGCUGGCUUGUAGCUCCAGGUUUCUCUCCAGGCAGGUUACUAAUGAGUUCCUAGAUAACCCUCAAAGUCAAAGUUUGUACACAUGACCUUUCUUUUUAUUUUUUGAGAUGGAGUUUUGCUUUUAUUGCCCAGGCUAGAGUGCAGUGGUGCAAUCUCGGCUCACUGCAACCUCCACCUUCCGGUUUCAAGCAAUUCUCCUGCCUCAGCCUCCCAAGUAGCUGGGAUUACAGGCGCCUGCCACCACGCCCAGCUAAUUUUUUUGUAUUUUUAGUAGAGACGGAGUUUCACCAUGUUGGUCAGGCUGAUCUCGAACUGCUGACCUUGUGAUCCACCUGCCUCAGCCUCCCAAAGUGCUGGGAUUACAGGUGUGAGCCACCGCGCCCAGCCACAUGACCUUUCAAUGUGAUCAUUUCUCUCUUGUACUUUUCCACAUUGAGUUUUCCUAGCUAGUCCCUCGAAUAAACUUCCAAAGAUGCAAAUGCUCAGUUUCCCUGAUAGGCUUUUAAAACAUCACCAGAAAGUCACAUUGAGAUGAGAUUUUAAGUUAUAUUUGUGGGUAGUCAGAGCAAUGACCCCGAAAGAAACAGAAAGCCCAAGCCAGCCUGCAAGACAUGUGAGCGCUCCUGGGAACUGACUGGUCUGCUUUUGUUCCCAGACUUUGAUUAAUGGGGAUUCCUGGCAGGAGGUCUCAUGAGAGCCAAAGCAGGCAGUGGCUGAGCUGCUUGGAGAUCUUGCUUGCUUAUCUCCAAGUGGGCAGACAGUCUUUGGGCGACCAACGAAGAAGACUCCUAAAUCUCCCUCUUUAUGAGAAGGGCUCCCAGGCUGCAGCUCUGUUCUUGCCCCUACGUUCAGCUCAAUCACAGCCAGCCUCUUAUAUUCACCCUAGCUCACCCUCCUUCUGCCUUGUGAGAAAGAAGUUUGCUCUGCAAAUGAUCAUUUUCACUGCUUUGUGAUAAUAUAAUCUGCUCCUAUUUUCAACAACAUGUCUUUAAUGAGCUGACUGCAUUAGCUGUCUUUCAUGUUGUUAGCUUCAACGCAGCCUUCAACACACCAUUCUGGCUUCCAUCCCUGCCACUCCACUGAAACUGCCUUUGCUAAAGCUUCCACUCAAGGAAGAACCCUUCCAUCUGCCGCUCUAUAAUCAUAUCCUUCUCUUUCAGAGGAAACCACCAUCCUAAGUUUUGUGUUAAUAAUUAUGUUAUCACAAAUAUAUGUGUCCCUAAACACUACAUGGUUUGUUUUUGCGUGUUUUUGAGCUUUUUUAAAAUAGAAUCAUUCUGCAUUAUUCCCAUGCAACUUGCAGCUUUUGCCCAGCAUUAUGUUUCUGAGAUUCACCUAUCUGAUUUCUCUGUUAUAUAGGUAUUUUGUUGUAAAAACAUAACACAAUUUAAUUACCCAUUCUACUUUUGGAUGUUGGAUUGGCUCCAGUUUUUGCUAUUGCAAACAGUGUUGCUGUGAAUAUUCUUAAAUAUUUCUCCGAUACAUGUGUGUAAGAAUGUUUUUUAGGAUAUAUACCUAGAAGUGGAAUCAUCAGGUCUUAAGGUAAGUGCACGUUCAAAUUUACUAGGUAAUGUCAAACUGUCUAAACUGGUUGUUUUCUAAAAUUGUUUUCUAAAGUGGUCAUACCAAUUUUCAUUUCUAACACCUGUAUAUGAAAGUCAUCUGGCCGGGCAUGGUGG
rnacentral:lncRNA from 1 species